ensembl:snoRNA
AAGCCAUUUCAAAGAGAACUUGUGGGGAUGUGAAACCAGGAGCCCUAAAUGCUGUGACCAAAGGUUGGGGUUCUCCAUAAGACAUUAUA